rnacentral:rRNA from 1 species
UACAGAGGUCUCAAGCGUUGUUCGGAUUCAUUGGGCGUAAAGGGUGUGUAGGUGGCGCCGUAAGUCGGGUGUGAAAUUUCGGAGCUUAACUCCGAAACUGCAUUCGAUACUGCGGUGCUUGAGGACUGGAGAGGAGACUGGAAUUCAUGGUGUAGCAGUGAAAUGCGCAGAUAUCAGGAGGAACACCGGUGGCGAAGGCGGGUCUCUGGGCCGAUACUGACGCUGAGGAGCGAAAGCGUGGGGAGCGAACAGG